rnacentral:rRNA from 1 species
UGCCAGCCGCCGCGGUAAUACGGAGGGUGCGAUCGUGAAUCGGAAUCACUGUGCGUAAAGCGUGCGUAGGCGGCGCAUCAAGUCAGACGUGAACGCCCUCGGCUCAACCGAGGAAUUGCGUUUGAAACUGAUGUGCUAGAGUCUCGGAGAGGUUAGGGGAAUUCCAGGUGUAGGAGUGAAAUCCGUAGAUAUCUGGAGGAACACCGGUGGCGAAGGCGCCUAACUGGACGAGUAAUGACGCGGAGGUACGAACGCGUGGGGCGCAAACAGGAGUAGAUA